AUGUACCUAAACAACAAUCAAUGAUUACCAUAUGCCUCUCCCAUAAUAAUCUUCAUAACCACUGAAAACUGUCAAAAAAUUAAACCAAAAGUCCAAUUAUUAUGGACGUUAUCUGACAUGAAGCGUUUCUUCAUUAUCAGCAGG